AAUGGCAUAGUAUAUGAUAUUCGUAAAUAAAAAUAUUUUUUCUGUAUCUUGUUUGUAAUUACAGUAGAAGUCCAUUAGUCCGGCAUCCAACAGUCCGGAAUGCCCGAUAGUCCGGCAUCGCUCCGGAAAAUUGUAAAAAUUUUGGUUUUCUCCAAAAGUGUGUCUUUUGGAGAAAACCAAAAGACACACUUUUGGAGAAAAAAUAAAGCAAAUAAAAACGCUGAGAGCUAUUCGGAAGUUUUCGGGGUAGUUCGGGAUCAUCCGGAAGCGCUCGGUAUUGUUCGGAAACAAUUAGCGACAGAUCGG
rnacentral:lncRNA from 1 species